CGUGUCUUGUCCCCAGGACCAGCUGUUUCCCCCGGCCAUCGACUACCUGCAGAGGGCCUUCAGCGUGAGGCGCCGGGGGGGGGCCGUGCUGCUCAGCAGACAAUGUUCGACCAACCAGUACCUGAGGAAGAGAGAUGACCCCCACCGCUACUGCCAGGACGCCUGCGCCGACGUCACGCGGUGCGGGCCCGUCACCGUGCCCCAGCACCACCUGCAGCAAUGCAAGGUGUGCAGUGAGUCGGGGAAGUCCUGCGGCCCCGUGGGGCCCCCAGACGGCCCCGGGGUGGAGGGCUCCGACUUCGUGCUCUACGUCAGCGGCAUCACCACGGAGCGCUGCGGGCAGGAGAACAUCGUGGCCUACGCCGCCUACUGCCAGCUGGAGGCGGAGCUGGACAGGUGGAGCACGCACAC